CAGGGAGACAACACAAUGAUUUUGAUGCGUGAGUGCUUUUAUUCUUAGGCCGAAAUCCUGUCACCUUAGGUCGAUCGGUACCUCAGCUUUGAAGUCAAGGAUCAGCAGCAAUGUUGAUUGCUUGAUGGAGAUUUUCAGUUCCUAAACUUUGUCUAGGUCACACCCCAAAAGGGAUGAGACUCCUGGGCCAUUAGCUCAGGUGGUUAGAGCGCACCCCUGAUAAGGGUGAGGUCCCUGGUUCAAGUCCAGGAUGGCCCAUUCGGUGUUGGGGGUUUAGCUCAGUUGGUAGAGCGCCUGCUUUGCAAGCAGGAUGUCAGGAGUUCGAGUCUCCUAACCUCCACUGACCGAACUCAAUCUCCAGCUCUGCAUGAACAAUGGAGAGCCACUCGAUGUUGGUGUGUGAUUUAGAUCGUGUCCGCUAGAACGAACCCAGCUUCCUGUCAUUCCAUUUGGUUGACAAGAUGCUGGGCUCAAGCCGUUUUGAUACGUUCAAAAUGGUUUUUGUCUGGCAGAACCUUGACAACUGCAUAGGUGAGUCUGGAAAAAACAAAGCAUCUCAUGGAUGCAUUGUUUUGGUCUUGAAUCCUCAAGGGUUCAAGUUCCAGAAUAAUGAAAAUUCUUUUGAGCAAGAGCCGAGACUCUGAAUUGUUCUUUUGAUCGUGUCGAGCGAUUGAGAGUUUGAUCUUAUUUUUUUUGAAAAUUUGAAAAUCUGUCUCAACAACAGUAAGCAGUUCAGAGAUUUAUUU
rnacentral:tRNA from 1 species